rnacentral:tRNA from 1 species
GCGACUAUGGUGUAACGGUUAACACUACAGUUUGUGGUACUGUCAAUUCGGGUUCGAUUCCCGGUAGUCGCCCA